rnacentral:rRNA from 1 species
CAGUAACGGCGAGUGAAGCGGCAACAGCUCAAAUUUGAAAUCUGGCCCCCAGGGCCCGAGUUGUAAUUUGCAGAGGAUGCUUUUGGCGCGGUGCCUUCCGAGUUCCCUGGAACGGGACGCCAUAGAGGGUGAGAGCCCCGUCUGGUCGGACACCAAGCCAGUGUAAAGCUCCUUCGACGAGUCGAGUAGUUUGGGAAUGCUGCUCUAAAUGGGAGGUAUAUGUCUUCUAAAGCUAAAUACCGGCCAGAGACCGAUAGCGCACAAGUAGAGUGAUCGAAAGAUGAAAAGCACUUUGAAAAGAGGGUUAAACAGUACGUGAAAUUGUUGAAAGGGAAGCGUUUAUGACCAGACUUGGGCCCGGUGAAUCAUCCAGCGUUCUCGCUGGUGCACUUCGCCGGGCCCAGGCCAGCAUCAGUUCGCCGCGGGGGAUAAAAGCUUCGGGAACGUGGCUCCCUCGGGAGUGUUAUAGCCCGUUGCAUAAUACCCUGUGGCGGACUGAGGUUCGCGCUCCGCAAGGAUGCUGGCGUAAUGGUCAUCAGCGACCCGUCUUGAAACACGGACCAAGGAGUCGUCUUCGUAUGCGAGUGUUCGGGUGUCAAACCCCUACGCGUAAUGAAAGUGAACGCAGGUGAGAGCUUCGGCGCAUCAUCGACCGAUCCUGAUGUUCUCGGAUGGAUUUGAGUAAGAGCAUACGGGGCCGGACCCGAAAGAAGGUGAACUAUGCCUGUAUAGGGUGAAGCCAGAGGAAACUCUGGUGGAGGCUCGCAGCGGUUCUGACGUGCAAAUCGAUCGUCAAAUAUGGGCAUGGGG